GACGAACGCUGGCGGCGUGCUUAACACAUGCAAGUCGAACGGAAAGGCCUCUUUCGGGGGGUACUCGAGUGGCGAACGGGUGAGUAACACGUGAGUAACCUGCCCUUGACUUUGGGAUAACUUCAGUAAACUGGGGCUAAUACCGGAUAGGAGCUCCUGCUGCAUGGUGGGGGUUGGAAAGUUUCGGCGGUUUGGGAUGGACUCGCGGCUUAUCAGCUUGUUGGUGGGGUAGUGGCUUACCAAGGCUUUGACGGGGAGCCGGCCUGAGAGGGUGACCGGCCACAUUGGGACUGAGAUACGGCACAGACUCCUACGGGAGGCAGAAGUGGGGAAUAUUGCACAAUGGGUGGAAGCCUGAUGCAGCAACGCCGUGUGCGGGAUGACGGCCUUCGGGUUGUAAACCGCUUUCGCUCAUGACGAAGCUUUGUGUGACGGUAGUGGGUAAAGAAGCACCGGCUAACUACGUG
rnacentral:rRNA from 1 species